GAGUUUGAUCGUGGCUCAGGACGAACGCUGGCGGCGUGCUUAACACAUGCAAGUGGAGCGACGAACCAGGGCUUGCCCUGGGGCAGAGCCGCGAACGGGUGAGUAACACGUGGGUAACGUGCCCCGAUGACUGGGACAACCCGGGGAAACCCGGGCUAAUACCGGAUAUGCCCCCUCACAUCAGUGAGGUGUGUAAAGGAAGCUUCGGCCUCCGCAUCGGGAUCGGCCCGCGGCGCAUUAGCUUGUUGGUGAGGUAACGGCUCACCAAGGCAACGAUGCGUAGCUGGUCUGAGAGGACGAUCAGCCACACUGGGACUGAGACACGGCCCAGACUCCUACGGGAGGCAGCAGUGGGGAAUCUUGCACAAUGCGCGAAAGCGUGAUGCAGCAACGCCGCGUGCGGGAAGACGGCC
rnacentral:rRNA from 1 species